GAAAACAAAGAUUAAACUGGAAAUCGCUUAAAAAGACAGAGGUUUAAGAGAUUUAGGAAAAAAUUAGGGUUUGCAAAAUAAAUUAGGGAAAUGGGAAACCUAGCUGUGAAACACAUAUAUAAUGCCAUAGAAGGCAUCAUCGGACAAAACCCACUGGACAAAAAGCCGGCAAAGGACCCAAGCAAAGCUUUCAGCGACCGUCUUUCAUGGAGGAGUUCUUUGGGAUUCGAGCUUUAGAGGGAAACAACGGGAUGAGGGUUCCAUGGCGGCUAGAGAUCGAGAGAAGUAAGGGAGGAGUAUGGUCGUAGAGGCGACGAGUUUCAUCGGAGAAGAAGGAACCAGAAGGUUCUAAAGAGAAGGGGGAAGGUUUGUUAGAGAGAGAGAGAG
rnacentral:lncRNA from 1 species